AACUGAAUUGAAUGGGAUUGUGGACUCUGGUUUUCCAACUGUAAUAAAGUGGAAAAGGAUUUACGUCCUGAAUAGUGUUACGUAUAGUACAAAAGAUUGGUAAUCAUUCAAAAAAUGUGAAAAGAAACGAACUUUGUCAUUUUGUGAGAAAUUGUUGAAUAAUACAUGUGAGUCUCAUGGAAAUCCUGUUUACACCCAUGGCAACUUCCCAGCAUCAACAGCGAGAGACCAGAAUUCGCCAACCCCCCAGCACAGGCCUACCACCGAAGUCUAUUCGGUGAGUGCGAGCGGAUAUCUAGUGUUGCGGCCAGGCCAGGGCAGCAAAAAAGCACCGCAUGCUUGGCGCGCGGAGUAACUCUUCAACUGCUUAUAGUAAAGCACCUCGCCUCGUGUGUGAGACUUGUGCGCGCGCGAGAGACUCUCGGAAUAGUUGUUGCGAGCUCUAAGGCUAUACCAAACCCCUUCAGGUAUAUUUGGUUUUGUACGUUACAGAUGGUUGUCAUUUAAACGUUGGUUGUUGCAGGGACUGUAGUCGCGAUUUGUGUCCGUUCUGGAUUUUGUUCUACGAGUCCGGUCGUAUAAAUAUAGAAUUUCGGUCGUUUUGGUUUACUGCGGUGAAAAGUUUUCUUGGCGACACUAAUUACACCGGGUGGUUGUAAUUUUGUGUGAAAAUUGUGUGCGAUUCUCGGUUCAGUUGUCUUUCAAGUUUUGCGGAUAAUUUGUUCGAGGUCUCCUGGCCGGUUAAUGUGAUUUUGUGAUCAUCCUCCACCAGCGCAUGAGAAGAAAAAUCGGCGCAAUCUUAGAGCCAGUGUCCCCGUUAACGAACACCGCAAAGAGUCCGCUUUAGGAACGCCCGCGAGGAAAAGUGAAAAGAAACGCAUCACCUAGAGCCGAGACGACGUGACAAACCAAUCCAAGGGAGCAAAACGUGGAUAAAUCGUGGAGUUAUUCAGUGCUGUGAGUGGCUUAGGUGCUUGAGAAAGAAAAAAAAGUGCAACAGCGGAAAAAAAUACUUUUCACGCUUGAUUGGGGCUGGAGAUCGUAGGCUUCGUGCCAAGUGUGCUGUUUUACAAGGUCCCAUCGGAUUCAGCAGGAGAGA